rnacentral:miRNA from 1 species
CAGCCCUGGGAUUAUGCAGUAUAAUACCCAGUAUUACUUAGGACAAAUUUAGACACAAUAUUGUUGACAUAAUUUAAAUAAUGUUUCUUUCCCCUAUUCCAG